rnacentral:lncRNA from 1 species
UUUAUCAUCAAAACAAUCCAGAUCUAGCCAGAAGAUCGAAAUAGAUUCAGCCAGAGAAUCGAAACAAUUCAGAUCUAGCCAGAAGAUCGAAGUAGAUUCAGCCAGAGAAUCAAAUUAAGUUCAAAUUCAGCCAGAGGAUCGACACUCCAGAUCUAGCCAGAAGAUCGAAAUAGAUUCAGCCAGAGAAUCGAAACAAUUCAGAUCUAGCCAGAAGAUCGAAGUAGAUUCAGCCAGAGAAUCAAAUUAAGUUCAGA